ensembl:lncRNA SNAP25-AS1 SNAP25 antisense RNA 1
CAUCUUUCCAAACUCUUGCAUGAAACUUGAUCUAUUCCUGUUUUCUACUUCAGAAUAAGGUCAAUUUUCAUUAUUUGUAAUUUGUUACACAAUCUUCUGUGUCCUCUCAGUUUUCAAAUUUAUUGCCAUGUAACUGCAAUUCUUUGAAACUUCUUUGAUUGUGAAGUUAUAUCUCCUUUCUUAAUACAUACACACACACGUACACAAACUUUUUUUCUUUAAUCUGAACCAUAAGGCUUUCUGUUUUACAGAUUCUUUAAAAGAGCAGAUUUUUAAAAUCCUUUUUAUCCUUUCUAAUAUAUUUUAUUGUUUUCUAUUUCAUGAAAUUCAGUAAUUUUGCCUUUAUUUCUUAGUAGUAUAUUUCACUUCAUUUGCUUUUUUCCUAAUUUCCUAGGAUAAAAACUAUUUUUUUCUUUCAUUUACUUUAUUAAUGUAAGCAUUUAAGGCUAUACAUUCUCCCCUGAACACAGUUUCAUCUGUGUCUCAUAGGUUUUGGAUUUAGUGUUCUUUAAAUUGCUUCCUAGAAAAUUAGUAACAUUAGUUGUGAUUUUCUCUUUGAUGUGGAGAGGAUGUUUCUUAAUUUGCAAGUACUUAAACUUUAGGCCACCUUUAAAUCAUUUAUCUUCAACAGCCUAUGAUCAGAUAAUAUGUCUAUUAAAUCCCGAUUUUUUAGAAAAGGUGUGUGUGUGUGUGUGUGUGUGUGUGUGUGUGUGUGUGUGUGUGUUUAAAUAUAUAAUUGAUUUUUUUUUUUUUGAGACGGUGUCUCACUCUGUCGCCCAGGCUGGAGUACAGUGGUGCAAUCUCUGCUCACUGCAAGCUCCGCCUCCUGGGUUCACGCCAUUCUCCUGCCUCAGCCUCCCGAGUAGCUGGGACUACAGGUUCCAGCCACCACGCCCAGCUAAUUUUUUUUUUUUUUGUAUUUUUAGUAGAGACGGGGUUUCACUGUGUUAGCCAGGAUGGUCUCGAUCUCCUGACCUCGUGAUCCACCUGCCUUGGCCUCCCAAAGUGCUGGGAUUACAGGCGUGGGCCACUGCACCCGGCCAUAUAUAAUUGAUUUUAAGAACUAUUUCAUAGGCAUAAAGUAUACUAUCUGGAAAAUGAAUAUAUGUAAUCAACUUUGUUGUGUUGUUCUAUUUUCCUAAAUAUUUGAUUAUAUUUAAAUUUACCACAUCAGCCUAAUUUUUAUAUGUUAAAUCCCUUGUAAUCAGUGUAUUUUAAUCAAAGUCAUCUUAUAUUUCUAGUAAUUUUUAAUUAAUGUAUUUUGUGGCCAUACUGUUUGUGCAUAUAGAUUUAUGUCAUCUGCUUCCUAACUUUUGCCACUGUAACUCUAUGUCAUCCUUUUCCUUAGGUAAUGUCCGUAGCCUUUAAUUUCUCCUUGUUUAACAUUUAUUUCUUUUUGCUUGCCUUGCCUCAAAUCUCUUAUUUUUAAUCUUUCAUUAUCAAUUUGUUUAUAAGAAUGUUUCUGAUAAAUACUAUAUAGCUAACUUUUUGUUCUUAUUUAAUCCAAUUUGACUUUCUCUGUUUUUUUAAUGAGAGAAUCUGGUAUAUUAAUAUUUAGUGUAACAAAUGAUAUACUUGAUUUUAUUUUUUCAGUCUCAUUGAUUGCUUAUUAUCUAGAUUAUUCUACUAUGACAUCUUUUUUUUUAUUUUUAUCAAUUUGGUCUUCAAGUCCCUCCUAACUUGGAGAAUCUGAUUAACUUUUUCAUCUCAUUAAUAAUCACCUUCCGUUCUCAGGCAUUAAUAGUCAAACAUUUAUUUUCUUUUAAAUAAAAUAAGGUAACUCUUUGUGCCCAUUUCUAGAUGCUUGAUUCUCCCAGUCCUUUCCCAACCUAAAAAAGCAUUUUGUCUUCUACUUCCCCAUUUUGUUUUCUUCUCCUAGAUGAGAUCUUGAGAAUGACCUUACAUCCCUCCAACCUUCUACCCAGCCCUAAGUCUUUAGUUUGGCCAAGAUAAGUUAGAACUUCUAAUUCCAUAUAACUAUGGUACUGUCACUGGCAGUAUGAAUGCUCCAUGUGAAUGCAUAUGCCAGAUUUGAAGGGAAUCUUUCUUUCUUUUUUAAUUGAAAAGCAGUUAGAUUCACAUUGUGGUUAUGAGUUUGGGUGCUUGUAUCAGACUACAUGGAUUUUUUUCUCAAAGGUGUUGCUUGCUAACUGUGUAAACUUGGACAAGUUAAAUAAAUUUUUUUGUGCUUCUGUGAAAAGAAGAAUUAUAUUGUGGUUGUUCAAAAUAUCCAUACAUUCUUCAACUCUCACCCAAAAAACUGGAGCCUCAUUCUCCUUCACUUUUCUGUUUGGUGAAUUUAGUCUCUCACUUCUGGUGAAUGGGAUACAGUGGAAGUGACAGCAUGCCUUCUAACUCUCUCUUUCUCUCUCUCUCAGAAUGUUCACUCUGGGGGAAGCCAGCUGCCACGCUGUAAGGACACUCGGGCAGUCCUAUGAAGAGGCCCGUGUGGUGAGAAAGAGAGGCCUCCAGCCAACAGCCAUAGAUGGGGUCUUGCUAUGUUUCCCAGUUGGAGUGCAGUGAUUAUUCACAGACAUGAUCCCACUACUGAUCAGCAUGGGAGUUUUCACCUGCUCCAUUUCCCACCUGGGAGGUCAUCAUAUUGAUGGCGAGCUAAGUGUGGACACCUGAUCAGCAUAGCACAGUACAGCCCAGAACCCCUGGGCUCCAGUGAUCCUCUUACUUCAGCCUCUUGAGUAGCUGGAACUACAGGCCUGCACCACUGCACCCGGCUAGUUUGUUUUUGUUAGAGUUUUGUCUCUAGGAUUUUCCUCAGCUGAGUAUGUGAAGGCUAACUUCUCCUUGUGAAUCUGCAAAUAUCCUUAUUUUACCCUUUAUUUUACCAUGUAUCAUUUACAGGUAAAUGAUAUCUUAGCUGUGUAUUGAAUUUCUGUUUUUUGUUUUUUCUUCAGUACUCUAUAAAUAUUACUCCAGUAUCUUCUAGCUUCUCCCAUUUUCUCCUAGUGAAUGGUUAUUCUGCUCUUAUCUAGCAGGUGAUAAAUCUGUCAACAGAUAGUUUUUCCUUUUUGUUUUAUGUGUAAGUUGUUAUUUCUUCCUUAAAGUUCAUAAUCUUUUCCCAUUUAUUCUCUAAAUUUUAGACUAUAACCAGGAUGUGUUUAGGUUGAUAUCUUUGCUUAUCUAUUCUGCCUGGAAAUCAGGAACCUCUUCCAAUAUUCAGACUUGUGUUUUCAGCUCAGAAUAAUUAUUUUAUCAUUUGUUUGAUUAUUCCUUUAGUUGCACUGGAUCUUAGUUAAAAUGCCCAUUCUGAUUCAAAGUAUCUGGAAGGCAAGUAUUUGUCAACUAAGGGAAAGGUGACCAUGCAUCAUUGGUUUUGCUGAGACUACCUGGUUUACACCUUCAGGCUUUAUACUUAGAAAAUAUUGCGAUCAUCUUCUGGUCAUGAAGUUACAAACUUCAGGACAAAGGCUAACCAGCUAAGACUAGCAGAGCAAAUUCCAAGAACUUGGGGCUUUAAUUAACUUGAAUUGAUUUGGACUUGCCCUACCUUUAACUUCACACUGAGAUAAAAAUUCCCCACAUUUUCAAGCCAUUUUUGAGAUGAGUCUCUUAUGGUUGAAAGCAUCCUAAUUUAUACAACAUCCUUUUGGUACCUAACUAAAUAUUCACCAAUAUUUGGCACAUUUGUUAAAUCUUUUGGUGUGUGCCUCUUCUAUGUAAUGUAAAUAUGGUCUGAAUAUCCAUUCAGAAAUUAUAGUUGAUUUGCAAAAAUAACUACUAUAUCACCUAUAUUAAUUGAUAGUUAUUCCUUCCCAACCUUCUUUCACUCUUCCAUAUAUAUACAGAGUAAAUCUACAUCAUUAUGUUGAUUAAACAAAAUAGCAGUGAAAUCAGGAUGUUACUGCUCAUUGUGCAUUUAUUUCAAUUAUGGAAAAAGCCAACACUUUACUCCCUUAUUUAACACUUCUGUAGAAAAGCAGUUGAAAUAACCUAGUGUCAUUCUAAAAUGAUUUGUAUACUAUGUAGACCAGAAUCUAGGGCUAUACCUAAAAAUACAUAAAUGAAAUUAUUCUAGAAGUUAAAUCUUCAUGAAAAAACAAAUUAAAUGGUUUACUAACCUCAAGCUGAUUAAAUGUUUUUAUUAAAUGCAGCCUCAGCCAGCACCUCUUUUCAUGGCUGCAAUAAUUAAGUAUAAUAAAUAUUCAAAUCAGUAAUUGAAUUUGUUAAAAAAAACAUGCUCAGCUCAGUGAAGACUUUCUAAUAAAUAGAAUUCAGGUACCAUAUUUUCAUACUUCAUGACACUUGCCUCAUCUUAGUUUGAUGACUGCCGUUUCUUGCACUGUAACAAGAUUUUAUUUUUAUUUUGUUUUACGCUAUUCAAACAAAUACAUUCAAAGUCAUAGGCUACACCUAUGUAUAACCAUAUUCUGAGAGUUGGCUUAUGUGUUUGUUUAUUUUCUCACAAUUAAAGAUAGGUCAGAUGUUGCCAAAUUAGUAAAUAACUAAACUUGAGAUGGGAAAUACUCUAGAGACACAAUCUGCUUAGUUUUGCAUAGUUUUGCAUAGUUUUAGUCACUUUUCCCG